UUGGAGGGCAAGUCUGGUGCCAGCAGCCGCGGUAAUUCCAGCUCCAAUAGCGUAUAUUAAAGUUGUUGCAGUUAAAAAGCUCGUAGUUGAAUUUCGGGAUUAGUACGUUGGUCGUGCCUUCGGUACGUACUGGUGUUACUGAUUCCUACCUUCUGACGAACCAUCAUGUCAUUAAUUUGGUGUGGUGGGGAAUCAGGACUGUUACUUUGAAAAAAUUAGAGUGUUUAAAGCAGGCUCGCGCUUGAAUACAUUAGCAUGGAAUAAUGAAAUAGGACGUUGACCCUAUUUUGUUGGUUUCUAGGAUUGACGUAAUGAUUAAUAGGGAUAGUUGGGGGCAUUAGUAUUCAAUUGUCAGAGGUGAAAUUCUUGGAUUUAUUGAAGACUAACUACUGCGAAAGCAUUUGCCAAGGAUGUUUUCAUUAAUCAAGAACGAAAGUUAGGGGAUCGAAGACGAUCAGAUACCGUCGUAGUCUUAACCAUAAACUAUGCCGACUAGGGAUCGGAUGAUGUUAUUUUUAAUGACCCAUUCGGCGCCUUACGGGAAAC
rnacentral:rRNA from 1 species